rnacentral:lncRNA from 10 species
AGAACCAGAGAGGCAGCAUGAAAAGGUGUUCCUGGCUUUGAACACAGAGGAAAAGAUUACAAGCCAAAGAGUGCGGGCAGCCUCUAGGAGCCAGAAAAGACAAGGAACGAAUUCUCCCCAGAGCCUCCAGAAAGGAGGGCAGCCCUGCUGACCCCUUGAUUUUACGCUGGUGAGACCCAUGUUGGACUUCUGACCUCCAGGAUUAUAAGAUCCCUUCACAUGAUAGAAGACAGACUCUUUGAUGAGGUCGGCGGAGCAGUUCACUAGCCAAUGAUGAGAGCAGAAAGGCCUAGACCUGCAGCCAGAAGUGAAGGCGGCUCAGUUCUCCGGGAUGCUUCUCUACCUCCUGAGCACCAAUUCCUGGAUUCCAGUCACUGGCUCACCUUUAGAAUGUCUGUUGCUAUUCACUGCUCCCCUCGCUCCUCUUAACAGCUUGGGGAGGUGACCAGUGGUUCAGGAGGGACUAGACAAUUACCUGUCCAGUGUGGUAUGGUAGGAAGAGUGUAGGUGUUGGCACGUGACCAAAAUUCACAUCCCUCCUCAUGGCAGUCAUUCAGUAUGUGUACUUGUACAAGUUAUUUAACCCAUUGGAGCCUAAAUUCCCUCAUCUAUAAAAUGGGGAUAAUAUUAUCUACCUCACAAGCUUAUGAAAACUAAACAUGAUGAAUCAAAAGCACUUGGCAUGUGAGGGCUAUUAAAAUAGCCUGAUUUUUUUUUUCUCCCCCUCUCCCCAAUGUAUUUGCUCUGGCCCUUGCUUUUUACCCUCCAGAGCUAAGAGGUAGCAGAGUCUCUUGGGAUGAGUGAUUCACCCUCUUACUUGGCGACCACUGAUGAGAUCAACAACAGGUGAACUAUAAACCUAUUAUUUAUUGCAGAACUAAUAAAAAAUCCAAAGCCUUGUA